UGAAAUAUUUAUAUAAGUAUGAAUGUUGAAAAAUAUAGUUCACUAAGUUAGCAUGGCAUAGUGGGAAGUGGUGUGUAAGCUGGUUUAAUCAUGGCUCUUGCAAAAUUUUGUUUGUUUCUAUAAUAUAAAUAUUUAAAAAUAAGUAUAAAAAAUAAAAAACCAACUUGGAAUUUAAAAAAAAGAUAACUAAAGAGAAAGGUCAACUAAAUAGGCCGCAUCAUAUUUUAUAAAAAAAAAUUAGAAAGGAGUGCUACAUCAUUUUUUCUGGUGAUUAGAUUUCUUUAGGUCAUCCAAUCUCUUUUUAUAGGAGUUUUUUCAA
rnacentral:lncRNA from 1 species